rnacentral:rRNA from 1 species
UACAGAGGUCUCAAGCGUUGUUCGGAUUCAUUGGGCGUAAAGGGUGCGUAGGUGGCGCCGUAAGUCGGGUGUGAAAUCUCGGGGCUUAACUCCGAAACUGCAUUCGAUACUGCGGUGCUUGAGGACUGGAGAGGAGACUGGAAUUCAUGGUGUAGCAGUGAAAUGCGUAGAGAUCAUGAGGAAGACCAGUGGCGAAGGCGGGUCUCUGGACAGUUCCUGACACUGAGACACGAAGGCCAGGGGAGCAAAACGGG